GUUGCUAAAGGUUGCGUCAGAGCUGUAGCAUUUGCAUGAAAGACUCCUCGCGAGAGCGUGCACAUACUUUUCUUUCGCUUAUUAUUAAAAUAAAUGGACUUCCAAAUGAGACACGUUAUCAGCGUAAAUUUUACUUGUAAAAUCUAAAAAUCUAAAUCGCGAGCGCGGAAUCUCGAAACGGCGGCAACGUGCCUUGCAUCUGCGAUUCUGAAAUCUCUCGUUACUACUACGGUGAAAUUAAAUAACAGCGCCGGCGUACACGCGAAGUAGGAAAAAAAGAAGACGAGGAAAGAAAGAAAGAAAAGGAAAGAAAAAAUGGUCAAAGACGAAUCUUUUCGAAACGAUUCUCUCGAGUGGGAAUGUUAAAAUAAUAAAAAGAAAAUAUCUUUCAAUUCUUAUAUAUAUAUAUAUAUAAAUCCAAGAGCGGAGCUUUUGGAAAUUACAUUAUUAUACCUCGAUAAAUUUUCAACACCCUUAAAAUCUCGAACGACCAAAUUCACCCUGAAAAUAUUUUGCCCCAUUUACAACAAUUUUUCUCCCGAAGAAAGAAACUAUCGACUUACCGGUUUCAAUCGGUCCCCCUCCAAGCGCCUACAGUUCAUAUUGAUAUAUAUAGGGUGCGACGAUAUCCGAGCCCCUAUCCGCAGUAGAUCCACGCACGUAGCCAGGACAAUCAUAACAAGCGGCUUGUCGAAGGGCGAUGCGGAACAGCAGCCACGACAGCACUACCAUCGUACAGGGGUAAGCGUAGAUGAAACACCGGCGGGCUUAAGUUCACCCUCCUGAAUGAAAGAAAGAAGAAAGCGCUGUGGGGAUGGAUGGAUCCUGGGAUACGCGACGAUUACAUCGGUGGCUCCGCUGGAAUUCGCCACGGAACGGUGCCGGUUCAGCGAGCGUCGCGAAUCGUUCCUAUAAAUUAUCCUCGCUAAAACGACACCCGGCAUUCGCAAUUAUUUAAAUGUACCGGAUAACGACGAGUCUUCCUCGAUGCUGUAAGGCGGUUCGAGGGAGAUGACGGAGGGCCGAUCCUGAUUAUUUUAAUGCUGGAAAGGAAAGGGAAAGGUGUGGGGAUUGGAUCGCAAAUACCAGACAAUUGUCAUUGAUCAUCCCAAGGUUACAAGAUAUAUCGAAAGACCUGAUCUUCGAAGUACGCGCAUUCUGAGUCACACUAGAGGCCGUGAUUGUUUGAUGUUGGAGUUGUGGAAUUCCUACUGGAGAUUAAACUUGGGACCCUCGGCUUGGGUCCAAAGCGAGACUUAUAACACCACACGUGGCACGUGUCGAAUUCCUCAACUCUGUGGUCUCGAGUAUCACUGUCCUCGAACACGACGGCGGUUCCAGGCUUUUAUAACUUUGAACAUUUCCAACACCGUUUGCCUUUGGAUAAUGUGAAAAGGAGAAAAAUCAAGUCGAUUCAUAUUUCAAUAUAGAUAAUAUAAUUGAUUCGAUGAUAUAAUCUUGAUGGAAGGAAAAAUGAAUGAUCAGAGAAUCUUGGUUAAUUUAAUUGCUACAACAAUUGAUGAAUUUUAGGUAUAUCGUAUCUGAACGAGAUGAUUUCUUUGCCAAUUACUUAUACGAAUGUUAUAUGUUAUCUUUCUGGCAUAGGUAUAGUGCACAUAUAAAUCAUAUCUCUAACUACCCUAUGGAAGAGUGACGCAGUGUUAUCAGAAUAGGGGAUCUCGGUUGGUGAAUAGAUUCGCGUAUAUACAUAUAUAUAUAUAUAUGUAUAUAUCUAUUUUGCGUUAACCCCUCUGUUCGACUGAUUCAAUAUCGAAUCAGUUCCAAAUCGGUUGGGAUUUAACGAAAACGAAUUACGAGCAACGAAACAGAAUUAUCGUAGCAAAUAAAAUGCAUUUGAAAUUCGCACGAAAGCCUAUUCAUACCUGUUCGAUUUCUUCCUCGAGAAAAGAUCAUUGUUACUUGGCGCAAGAAAAUAAGAAGGAAAAUUUUUUAGCACAAUUUUCUGCGGAACGAAAGAUUUUUUUCCUUUUCAAAAGUUAUUUAACGCGGCCACCUUUCCCCCUUCUUUCUUCAAUCUUAUUUCCACGCUUUUUGUUUAUACGUAUUUUUCGAAGCAUGAAAAACCGCGAGUACGAGAAAACACGAAUCCAGAGUUAACGCGCGAGUUCUUGUAACAAUUGUGUGUCGCGUGAUACACACAGUUCUUUUAUUUCUCUUCUUUAAAUAUUACGUACGUAUUACGUAUUUAACGUCGGGCUACAUUGCAUAAUCAUUUCGCUGGAUCUCGCGUAGAAUUAACAUUUAUUUUCUUCCCCACGAAACGAGUGGAAACACGUGGAAACAGGCACGACACACUAUCGAACAACACGCGUUCUUUAUUAAGUGAAAUUUCGUUUAAUCGGGCCUAAAAGGCAGGAGGAGGACGAAGAGGAAGGAAGGAAUAAAAGAACGAAAGAAAAUGUUGCGUUUUCUGGCUCGAAUCACAAUGGAGGUAAAUUGAAAAUAGACGCGUUUCCAGCUGGAAAUCUUCUGGCCCAAUUACCAUCAAGAUAUAUUCAAUCGUGGGGACAUCUAAUCAGACACCACAGGCGGGUGAAUCUGCGGGCAGUUUAUAAAUUGGACCCUCCUUGUAUAUGCUGAUAGAAGUCUGGGAUAGAGAAGGGAAGCCUGAAUCAAUGUGAUGGAACUCAGAAUUAGUGAGAAAGAGAAGAGAAGAGAGAGGAAGAGAGAGAGAGGAGAGUUACGGGGUAGAAGUAGAUUUCAACCCUCCCGAGGGGAUUUUCAGGCUAGCGAGUUCCGUACCGGGGUACCUUUAGUCUCUCCACUCGUGUUCUGUGAGCCGACAUCCCGCUGCACUGUAUGGUGACAUUCAUCUCGAUUCAAUUUUCCCGGAUAAAAAUUAUAACUGUGUAGCUGGACUGUACAGGGUGUCCCUGGUACGACUGUACGAAGUUGUGCACUGGCUUAAAGCAAACAAAAGUCAUCAUAUCGUAAUGAAUCGAGAAAUUGGCAAUUGCAAUUACGAAUUGAAAAUUUUUCCAAAAUUUUUCACCUUCACCUUCCUCGAAAAACGUGGAAUCGCGUAUACGAGUAACAAGACCACCCUGUGUAACUUUUCAUCGAUAUCAUCGAGGCUAACAUUACGCUACGAGAUUACGAUCGAAGAAUGAAAGAUUCAAUAAUCCUCUUUCCCUCCUCAGGAAAGUUUCAAUUCAAAAAUUGAACAGUAAAAUGAUAAUAAAAAGUUUUUUAUCACCGACGCGAGAAUAGAAUUGGCGAAAGAGAAAAAGAGAUCGUGUUUACAUUAGCCAAAGACGAAGACAAAUAGACAUUAAUAAUUCCAACACUGUUAUUUCUAUCGUCUAAAGGAAUAAGAAGUUUUCAUAAGCAGCUUACAAAACAAGGAACCGAACCGUCGUUCCAUCGACUCGAUCUUAAUCUUUCUUUAAAUUUUAAGGAUCACCCUUUGAUCGAGGUAAAUCCUUGUAUCGUUCUCGUGCUCACUUGCCCAGCAGAAUCGUGCGACCACGAUACACCUACGGCCGAUGAGACUCGAUGUGGCGCCUAGACGUGGACGAUUUGCUCGAGCCAAUAUGGCGGAGGACGAGACGCAACGAGGUUUAAAUCGGAAUUCGUGGCGGGCAUCGCCGCUCGAAUGAGUUACAGUACGCUGGAUUUCCGGUUUCUUAUCCCACGCGGCCACCAUUGUGACCGCCGGGUGGUAAACGGAAUCGUGUUUCGUACGACCGCGAUAUUUUACCUGCCAACGACACACGAGAGGCGUAGAGAAGAAGCGGUUUCUCGCCACCGUGGACGAGAGAUCGUGGACCCGUGUGGCGGGUGGAGAGGUUCGGGAAUCAAGUCGUACAAAUGGGUUGUCAUUCAUUUCCCCUGAUUCUGAUUCAUGCCUCCCCGCGGUUUCGUAUUACUUAUAUAUAUAUAUAUAUAUAAAAGAAGCGUGCCCGCGGUUUAAACAAAGCCCGACUUACCUGAUCUUCGCGUUCCAGGCAUGCCAGUGCGCCGGUACAAAAAGGCAAAAAUUCAACAGUUCAUCGUUUCUUUCUCGUGAAAUUUGAACGAAAGUAAUCGAACGAAAAGUACACCCUGAUGUGUUGCGUGUUUAAUCGCACUGGGAAGUCGCGCGAAACAAACAGUCCAUUCGUCACAAAUAAGAAUCGAGGAGGCAAAUAGAAUUGCGGAUCGAAUUGAAAUUUGCGAGGUUUCCUCGAUGAAACGACGAGAUACAUCGAACGGAAUAAUAAUGAAAAAAUAAUAAGACGGAGGUAACGAGCUUAAACCGGUUAUACGAUAUUUCUUUUUAAAAGUGUAAGCGUUGCCAGUCCUCCAGAUAAUGUGCGUUACCUCCUCUGUUUACUCCUAUUUUCAUUCCCCUUCCCUCGUCAAGACGACUUCCUGCCUACUUUUCUCGUUAUACGUGAUGAGAGAAAAGGAAAGGUAGGAGGCGGGGGGGAAGUAGGAGAGGUGGAAAGUGGGAGGGAGAGAAAGUGAAUGAGAAAGAGAGACAGGAAUGCAAAUUGAAGUUAGCUCGUUUGCAUAAUUCAAUCCUUUAUGCUAUCCUUUCGAUCGAUAAUGCGAGAAGUUGCAUAAUACAUUUUUUAUUAAGCGCCCAGGCUAACACGGACAAGAGGGUUGAACGAGAGAGAGAGAGAGAGAGAGAGAGAGUGGGAACGUUUCGCGCGGUCGCCAUCAAAUAUGCAAUAAAUUUCCGCGAACGUAAAUAUUUCAACGCGUUUAACAAAUCUCCAGUUGCUGAACUGUCCGUACUAAAACCGCAAUUUCCUGUCGCUACAUAAAUGUCGAAAAUCCUGUAAACGACGUUUUAAUUAGAGACUUGCGCUUACCCGGCUAAACACGCGGCGGUGACCAUCAUUUGUGCCGGCGUCAAUUAUCAUUUAAACAGUACCGGUUAAAUUGCACGUGCGUUACACACGCGUGUGCAUACGUGUUGCCAUUUCAUAAUUUACUUUACGUCUUUAAACGAAUGUUUAUCCCAUGAUCGAUGCAAGAUAAUGAGUUUACCUUCUCGCGUACUAGUGGUAGUAGCAGUGGAAGAACUUUCUUUUUUUUUUUAUUAUUUUUCACGUUUUAUGGAAGGAUCAACCUGCCCUCGUUAUCGAGAAUUUUCUUCCUUUUUUUUUUUCCUUUUCUUCUCUCUACCCCCUUUCCAUUCCCUUUUUAAAGUUACAGCUUCUCCGCUUACACAUCGAUCGGUUCCGUUUUAAAUUUCGAACUUUUCUAUAACUUGUUUUUUUUUUUUUUUUUUUAUUAAGUAACAAGAGCGAGUUUCGAGCGAAACCCACGACAAAUUCGUUGCUCGUCACACGAUGUUGGGUAUGGAAAGUUUGUUACGUACUCGUUUGUAGGCACACCCCUCCUGAGAAAACUUGGUUCAACUUUUGAAGACGGUCCGGGAUGCGUCAGGAACAUAAUGCGUUGCUUGUUCCUGCAUUGUUUAUAACAAAUAUUUGGGAUACGGGCAACACUGGGUGAAUAUGAUGUACGAAACUUUCUAUUACAUUUUUAUAUAUAUAUAAAAGAAUGGGAUAGAAUACGGAAUAGAUAUUCGACACAAAUUUCGAUAGUUCUUUUCGAUUUCAUCCAUUAAUGAGAGAUGAAACAGAAUAAACAUUAGCUAUUAAACGGUCCAGAAUCACGUAAGUAUGAAUGGUAAAACAAGAUACACUUAUUAAAUUUCAAGAUCGUAAUGAAAGACAGUAGAUUAAAGAAAGAAAUACUCGAUAAUUUUCUUCGUUCAAUGAUUUUGUGGUAGAUUAGAGAUAUCCAUUCACUCGAAUAAAUUGUUAUUUUUUUGGUGACAGAGUAAUUUUUAAUUUCCCUAGACAAAAUUGGUGGCAUUCAGAUAGGAUAUCCGACUCGGGAUAUCGAUGGCCUGUAACAAAUUGCGUUCAUAAAAUUUCGGGAUCACGUACACACAGCACGUCCCUCGCAUUAAUCCCAAGGAUAAUUCGAUUCACCGAGAUCGAAACCGGAGUCGUAGACCUAAUCCAUCUUUAUAACGAAGAUUGUGCCUACCAAUGGAAAAUCGUUAAGAAAUCCCUACCCUCUGAAAGCUGAAAGGAUUUCGAAGUUCGUCACGCUGUGGUUGUAUUUUGGAUGCUGGAAAUAAUUCAUUGCAUUUGGGGAUGAUCGAAAGAAGGGUCGGGAAAAAGACUUUUCCACCUUAAUAUCCUUUGGUAAAAGUUCUGCAGGAUGAACUCAUUUAUAAUAUCCUUCCUUUUACUAAAGUACGAGUGAAAAUUCUCAUUUUCUUUUCUUUUUCCUUUUUUCCUAUCUCGAUUAUUAUUAAAAUAUCCAUUUAACGAUUAAUUAAGAGAUCUAUAUAGAUAAUGAACAGUGAGUUGUUUUGAAUUUUUUUAAAAAGGCUUUUUUUAAAAAUGUACAAAAUUUAAAGAGACGGUAGUAGUGAGAAAAUAGGUCAGUAUCCAUUUAACGAUCAAUUUAAAAAAUUUAUCGAAUAAUGAAGUAAAAAUGUUAACGAAUUUUCUUGAAUUUUUUUUUUUUUUUUUUUUUUUUUCAGAACCUUUGAAAGCUUGAAAUAAUUUAAAACGUACAAAGAGAAAAAUGGAAUGACGUCAGUAUGAGAAAGCAAGUUGUAGAAACCCUCAAAAUAUUUCCUUAUUAAUCAUCGGAACAGGAACACGAUUUCGUUCCAUUCUAAUAUUAACUCGCAUCCAUAAGGAGAAUUUUUUUCUUUUUCCUUUUUGAAACAGUGCAUGUUCAAGACCUAAGCUGUUUCGAGCGUUCCAUGCCCGGUAACGACCAUACAUUCUCCCCUCCCACGUAGCUCGUGGAUCCUCGUACAUUCCUGCAAGUAGACAGAUAUUUCACUUCAACUAACAUGGCAAGUGUCGCCGGUUGUUCUCCACGGUAUGUUGGAGUGUUUGCAGAAUUCGUAUACGCACGAAUAUCCCCUACGAAACCGAUGUAACAUUGAAAAGUUUCGAAUGCUCGGUCGAAUCAAGUGCGGCCAAGUAUUUGACUUACUCUCAACCCAAUUCGUUCCGCCAAGAAGCACGAUUGAUGGUUCCUCCUUUUUUUUUCCUUUUUCUUUCUUUUUAUAUAUAUAUAUUUUUUUCCUUUAAUUGUUUUACCCCUCGCUCGAACGUUCAAGGAGCGAAUUUCGAGGGAAAAUCGAGUUGUUGAUCGCCGACUAACAGUCUGUUUUCGAUCGUUUCGACGUAUCGCAUAGCGGCGUCGAAGGCAGCGCGAAACUUUUACUCGACGCUAUCGCGCGACGUUUAAUUAACGGAUUAAAUGGUGAACGACGGCGAUGAAUUAAACACCGUGACCGGUAUCGUUUUGCGCGUUUCGAACAGGUUUUCAGCGGAGAUUAAUUUUUCUAAAAUGAACUGUAGGGAUUGCUCGAAACGGCCGAUAACAAAAGACAAUGACCGAUGGCGCGCUGUCAACGUUGAACGGAUAAGGAGAAAAGGGAAGAACAAUGGAAUUCCGAUUUUAAUUCAAUUCAAUCAUCGAUACAGGUGUGCGUGUUUAUCCACGGAUCCGUGAGAGAUUUCUGUACGGGGAACGAAAGCUCGAAUAACGAACCGAUACCGGGAAAUACUUUGGUACGAAAAUAUUGUACGAUCGGUCGCCAAAAAUUGGUUUGUAUUACAAAGAUUAUUAUUUGUAUUAUUUUAAUGAAAAUUCGCGCAGAAUAUAAUGGAUUGUUCAAAUUUUCGUGAAUAUAAAUUUUUUUACGGUAGAACAAUGGGCCAAUGAAAAUCUGAAUAUUCAUUUUAUUUUAUUCCGUCUUAUUACAAAAUUAUAUUUUGUAAAAAAAAAGGGGAGGGGAAGCAUUUGAAUUUCCCUCGACAUUUUUACUCGCAACAAUCUAUUCAUUAUUCAUUCAAAUGUAAAAAAAAAAUUUAUCAUCGAUUUUUAAUUGAACUCGAUUGUAUCUCGAUGUAUCAUUGAUGAUGAAAUUAAUGCGAAUUCGAGCGAUUUAUUUAAUCCAAUCGUUCCUUAAGAGAAAUAUAAAACGGCGAUGUUAUCUUUUUCCACGUUUUAAACCUGGGAUUAAACUCACCAGAUUAAAGGAGCGAAAUUGGCGAGCCGGGGCCGACGAGGGAGGCGUGGUAAUUUUUUCGAAAAUAUUCCGCGGCCAAUCGGGCGGAAAGAAAUUUCGGCGUUAAAACCGCGCGUCCCCUGUUCUCAUUCGCGAUUCAAUAACAGAAAAGAUUGAACGGAAGGUACACACGCGGUAUCGGCGUGUACACAUCGAAUCCAAUAAAAACCGAUUUGGCCAAUUUUUCACCGCGCAUAAAUGGAAUUCCGCCGGCGUUGGACGAAGAGAAACGGUGGCCACGGGUACACGCCAGGCCGAUAUUCCGUCGAUUUGUUCGCCGGCCGGGCUGACUAAUUAAUUGAACGAUAAAAUUCAAUUUCGCCGAUACUCGGGAUUUCGUAAUCGGGAUAUAAUUAUAUUAUACGAAAGAAACAGGAAUAACGAUGAGAUAGGACAAACGUUGAAUGUAAACAGGAGAAGAGGUAUAGAGACUUGUAACAGCGGAAAGACUUUUGAUAUAAUUGAUAGAUAAUUAAAAAAGUUUUCUUAUUAAUCGUGCAAAAGGAAAAGUACUUUUAAACUACUUUCCAGAUUUCAGGAAGAAUGUUACAUUUGAAUCGUUGAAAUCGCGAUUCCAGAAAUAAUUUUUUUAAAUGAAAUACACUUUUUCUUGUUCUUCGUAUUAAGCAAAUGAAAUUAAAAUAUCAAGAAAGGAAAGAAUAACGGGAACCAUUCCCGACAAAUGGAAUAACUCAAAACAUACGUAAUAACAAUUUUUUGUGCAAAAUUUUAUUUUAUGCAACAUCUAAGAUCGAUUGAUUUCAACCAAAACGAACAGGAAAUUAAUAAAAAAUAAUUAUAAUAUUUCAGAUAUGAAAGAGACGAUGCCAUCUCGUCAUAUUUCUUCUCUAAAAAUCGAAAGGACGAAAAUGUUGAAGUUGAAUGAUCUUUGAGCGGAUAUGGGCAGGGAAAGGGAAGCGGCGACGAUGUAAGGAGACGGCGUCGAUCGAAGGGGGUCAGUUUUUCGAGAACUGUAGCGUGAAAACGGGCGAAGCCGCGGCGAAUCGUCGCCAGUCACGCCCAGAUACUAUAUUCGCUUUUGUAUUCAAUCCCUGCAUUGCCCCUCGGCAAUUUCGUUUACGUGGACCAAUGGGUCACAAUGGGGGUCUCACAAAGGGAUGAUCGGGUCCCCCACUAAUAAACCGGGGGUUACAGGGGAAAUCGGACUCGUGUGCCGGAUUCUAUCGCGAGGAUGAGUGGGUCAACCGAGAAAUGGCAUACGACCGAAGUCGCUGGCGACGCGACAAGAAACAAAUCGCAUUGCUUCCCGAUCCAAGAGGAAGAGAAAAAUAAGAAUAAUAGAAUCGAAGAUACUUUUCCGUUCUGAUUCUGCGCGAAUUCUCGUGUUACGAAAAGUAUCUACGCGUCGUUUUUAUUCAUUACGCAAUAGUAGAAUAUUUUCGAAUUUGAAUUGUAUGGAUAAAUCGAAUCUACGAGAGAAAUUGUAAAAAUUUAUUGCAACUGCUAUUGUGCUACAUUUAUGCAAAUGUUAUUGCAAGGAAAUUGGCGUAGUCCGUCUUUUCUUUGCGUGGAUUUACAUGGAAAGUGAAGUCAGAGCUCGGUAUCCCCGUUGGCAACGGUUUGAAUACCAAGACUUAUGUAAUGGAGAGUGGUUGGAGGGUGGAUUAGGGUCUCUAGGGCGGAUCUCUUACAUAGUCACCUCCUCGUACUAGGGAGACCUAGUAAUUGGCAUCGUUUCCCAGAGAAUAUUCUUUGUAAUGGAAACUAGGUUUAAUACUUGCAACUUUCGAAGAGUAUUGAACUUCUUGCUUAAUUUUCGAAAUUUUAAAUUUGGCCGGCGCAUUUUAAGAUUGCAUUGCGACGCAAAUGGAAACGAAUGAAGCUCAUUUUGCGCGUAAGCGUUACUUUUUACAUCGCGGAAAAAUAUAUAAUGUGCAAACAAAUGUUGGGAGUUAGGCGAUUUUAAGCGUGAGCUCAAGAUGAAAGUGUUGGACCCAUAAAUUGUAAUAUA